rnacentral:misc_RNA from 1 species
GAUGAAGAACGUAGCGAAAUGCGAUAAGUAAUGCGAAUUGCAGAAUCCAGCGAGUCAUCGAAUCUUUGAACGCACAUUGCGCCCCUUGGUAUUCCGAGGGGCAUGCCUGUUCGAGCGUCAUUAUAACCCCUCAAGCUUAGCUUGGUGUUGGGGCCUGCUGUAAUAGAGCAGCCCUUAAAAUCAGUGGCGGUGCCAUUAGGCUCUAAGCGUAGUAAUUCUUCUCGCUAUAGGGUUCUGGUGGAUGCUUGCCAUUAACCUCUAAUUUUCUAUGGUUGACCUCGGAUCAGGUAGGGAUACCCGCUGAACUUAAGCAUAUCAAUAAGCGGAGGA